rnacentral:lncRNA from 1 species
CCACUCUGCCUGGGACACACUAACAGCACUGCCGGUCUGGCCCCUCUCCUUCAGUACUUGCAAGUUAAGUCUGCUGUGUGUCAACCACUUGCUUGUUAUAGAGUUUGUUUUCCGAUUCGGAGUCUGGCAGCCCCAAGAAACUAGGCUGAGCUGGCUGUCAUCAGUGCCAGUCGGAGACAACAGUGAGAAUGUGGCCACAGUGGGAAGAGGAACAAAUAAUGGGCCAUCACCCACUCUGAGGGUCCUGAUGUGAGGCUUAGCUCUGCAUAGGGCAGGAGGUCUGAAUGGCUAAGCAGCCUCCACCAAGGUGAGGUCCAGUCCACCACUGGCCCCUUGGCACUAGCUGCCAGAGCUGCGUGCAGUGUCCCUUCAGGAACCCCCCCUUGCCCCAGCAUGGGACUGGGGGGUCGUGGUUUUAAUUUCUUGAGGUCCAUUGUUUCAAAAGUCUGACGGCCAGAGGGCACAAUGCCUCUCCUGCAAGAGGAAACGGAAGCCUUGCACGCGUUAGUAGGCCUGUGCUCUGCCCCUAGCUACAUCCCUUGCCUGCCAACCUUGGUUUUUGAAACUGGGUCUCAACAGGUGUCCUAUGUUGGACUCAAACUGGCAAUCCUCCUGCCUCUGUCAGAUGCCUGCACCACCACCCAAUUUGUGGCCAUCUAACGUCAAAAGUCUCGGGCCAUUUAACGUUUUCCGCCAGCGGUGGUUUUCUGUGUGAUCACGUGUUUUGACUCCUUCCUCCCCAUCGAGCAAGCUGGUCUGCGCUGGUUUUCAUCUCCCACUGAAGCUUCUGAGAGGAUGGCCUGGGUGCUGGUGUCUGCAUCGUCCCUGUCACCCGGCCCCGACACCUGCGCGCUCUGUCGCCCGCAGCCACUAGGGGGCGCAGCGAGGACGCGCGCCUGGACUCCGGCGCCUACGCAGGGGCCCGCGUCACGUGCUCCGCGCGGGCGGGCGAGCGAGCGAGCCCGCCCCGCCCUCGGACCACAUGAUCCACCCGCGCUGUCUGUCGCGCUGCGCUCGGGGGUCUGCAGCGCGGCGGGCGUUUGCGCAGGGGCACUCCACCUGUUCCCAACCCAUUAAUUCUAUCCAGCUGUUCCUGAGUUACAGCUUUCAAAACAAACAGUAAGUGUGAGUGAAGCACUUUUCUGAGUUCUGUGAGAUAGUCCAGUGGGUUCCAAACUUGGUACAGGGGUCCUCGGAACCGUCAGGUUGAUAGCCGGCCCACAGAAGCACUGGUGGCAGCCUGGGAUUUGUAGCUGGCAUCUAGGUAUGGUAGGGCCCCAAGCCUUGAGGAGUCUGCUCUGAUUGAAGAUAGAUCAGAACUGAAUUGGGUUGUAGUUCACCCCUCAACACCCCCCCCCACACACACCCCUGGGGAGUCACUAGCAGGAGAAAGAAAGUCACAGGUAUUAUGGGUAAAAAAUUAACUGCCAACCUGGAGAGCCCCGACUCACCAGUGCCACAGGUGAGCCCCAAGUGCUGGUCAGAAUAUCCACAGCUGGCCCUUCUGCAACCAGGCUGCUGUCUCUUGAGUGUGUCUGGUGACCCAGAGAACCUUAGUAACUCCUGCUGUGCCAAGCCCCUCCCUGUGGCCACCAUGUCUUGAAAUGAGCCCAGCUUCUGCCCAGACCCCAUUUCCGGAAGGCUCCCCACUCCUCUGUGGCCAGUUGUAGCCUGAGAACCCUGUGACCUGGGCUCUUCAUCCCCUCACUUUCUUCCUCUUCUUGGGGUUUGACUUGGUGGCUCUGUAGCCUUCCUGCUCACCCCUUUUCUCUCACACAGGAGACCUCUGGGUAAGUCCUGGCUCCCUUUUGCAUCUGUUUGUACAGAGCUAUGGGGCCCAUGUCUGCAGCAGGCCCUCUGCCUUCCUCACCAUUGCUGUGGACAGAGAUGCUCAGGCUGCCUGCUUCCACUGUCAGUGUGUGUGCAUGCUGCUCUGAGAAUGCACCCACGGACCUCUGGCCUCUACCCACACUGACA